AAUGUGGAUCUUCCAAAUUUUGCUUCGAGAAUCAAUUGGAGGGCAAGUCUGGUGCCAGCAGCCGCGGUAAUUCCAGCUCCAAUAGCGUAUAUUAAAGUUGUUGCAGUUAAAAAGCUCGUAGUUGUUAGGGUUGGGAAAUUUGAAGAAUCUUCACUGGUCUUCAGACUUCCUAAAAGCUGUUUCAAUCGGCUUUGUGUUACUUUGAGAAAAUUUGAGUGUUCAUCUCGGGCAAAUUGCCUACAUAAUGUACCAUGGAAUAACUCUGUGGCCCUAAUUCUGUCUUUUGGCUUACAUUAUUGGGGUUCGUGGUUGAAAGGAAUAGUUGGGGGCAUUCGUACUGAACAGUUAGAGGUGAAAUUCUUAGAUUUGUUCAAGACGAACCAGUGCGAAAGCAUCUGCCAAGGAUGUUUUCAUUAAUCAAGAACGAAAGUUAGGGGAUCGAAGACGAUCAGAUACCGUCGUAGUCUUAACUGUAAACAAUGCCGACUAGAGAUCGGUGGAAUUCGAAUUGGAAUCCUUCGGCAUCUACAGAGAAAUCAAAGUUCUUGGGUUCUGGGGGGAGUAUGGUCGCAAGGCUGAAACUUAAAGGAAUUGACGGAAGGGCACCACCAGGAGUGGAGCCUGCGGCUUAAUUUGACCCAACACGGGAAAACUUACCAGGUCCGGACAUAGGUAUGAUUGACAGACUGAGAGCUCUUUCUUGAUUCUAUGGGUGGUGGUGCAUGGCCGUUCUUAGUUGGUGGAUUGAUUUGUCUGGUUGAUUCCGACAACGAACGAGACCUUUACUUUCUAAUUAGAUCCAAGACAUACGUGUUUCCUGGGUCGCCUUAGCAGAACUUUGUGCGUUGCAGCACAAUGAAGCACAGGCAAUAACAGGUCUGUGAUGCCCUUAGAUGUUCUGGGCUGCACGCGUGCUACAAUGAAACUUACCAUAAGUUGCGAUGUCGAAAAGCUAUGCAAAUCUUUGAAUGCGUUUCGUGACAGGGACAGUUGAUUGUAAUUUUUCGACUCGAACGAGGAAUUCCUUGUAAUCGUGAUUCAUCAUAUCGCGCUGAAUACGUCCCUGCCCUUUGUACACACCGCCCGUCGCUCCUACCGAUUGGGCGAUCCGGUGAAUUAUUUGGAGUUUUGACGAUUUCUUUCGGAAACCUGCCAAUUCAAAUUUUUGU
rnacentral:rRNA from 1 species